rnacentral:lncRNA from 1 species
CAAAAUUGUGCCUCACGUGUUUCUGUGGUGCUUUCUUUCCUACAGAACUUAUGUUAAUCUUCGUUGUCAAUAAAUUUAUGAUAAGGAAACUGAGCCUUACAGAAGUUAAAUUAUCUUCCCAAUAUCACAGAGCUAGGAAACAACAGAGACAGCCAGGGGUGUUCUGUUAAGUGGAAAACAUGAAUCAAACAAUAUGAAGGCAAUGUGUAAUUUACUAAAUUAUCCAUUGGAGGCUAUGUUCUUGGUUUUGUAUAAGCAAAAUAUCUUGAAUUGAACAUGCAGUG